AAGGAGGCCGUGAGGGGGACAGGGUCACUGCUUGGAAAAGGCUUCUGAAGUCACCUAGUCCAGCCUAUGAGCCAACAUCACCAGCAGCUUCGGCCACACUGAAAGGCUCCUUCCUCUGCUGCUUUCUAACCCAGGCUGGCUGGAGGCACGGUGACAUCCCUCACUCACCCAGAGGCAGCUGCCAGGGUUCAAACCCACCGCCCCGCUCACUGUUGCCUUUCUGUACCUGCCUGCAAAGUGUCAGUGCUUCCAAAUGGGGGUAAGACAUGCUCAGUUAAAUUCAUGUUCAUGCUUAGGAAACAGAAUUCCUUCCUGCAUGGAUCUCUGGUAACGUGGACAUAACUUUUACAGAACAUCAUGCAUAUGAUUACACUGGCUUUUUUCUCCAAUAAUGUAAUUGUUGCUAUUGCUGACAGCUAUGCUUUUCCUCACAGUCCUGGUGAACAGUAUGAGUACUUUGCACUCUUCAUCCAAAAGCAAUCAAGAGUUAAACAGCCUAUAUGCGAGAAUGUACAGAAUAUAUGCCAGAUUAUGUAAAUCAGAUAAUAUUUAGAGUUUGAUAACUGAGGAUUUUUUUAAUAUAUCAGGAAAUUAUAUCUUCUGUUUCUUCUUUGCAGUGUUUGGAAAUAGAUUUUGAAUUCUACAAUAUUCCCCAUUCCAUUUGUUUGAGAUCUUCUGCAAACCAAAACCAGUCAAAGUGCUGCAAAGUUAAGGGCUUAGUUUGUAUCUUUCCAUUUGGCAUUUUCAGUAGUGUUGGCUGUUCAGAAGAGAGCAGUGCAUAACUGAAGCAAUUUACUUCCAGUCUGUAGAAGCAGUACAGAAUGUGCUGCUCUACUGUGCAAACAAACAGAAACCCAACUAUAAUUUCCAUAGAAGUUAUCAUAUCUGGUUGGACUUUUCAGGAUUGUAAUUUUAAAAUAUAUUAUGUAAUUCAGAAUUUAUUUCAUAUUAAAUGUAAAAAUUCACUCCUUUAAAAGUAGCAUUUACAUAUUCUGCUCUUUUAAUUUUUAACAUAGACUCUUCCUUAAUGAUCCUGCCUUUCACAGUUUUAGUUUACAUUAAAAAAUAAGAUUUUUUGCAUUUUCUGCCACAUUUGUUUGAUAAAAUAAAUUUAUUUGAUUUAUUUGUUUCA